GACGAACGCUGGCGGCGUGCUUAACACAUGCAAGUCGAACGGAAAGGCCCUGCUUUUGUGGGGUGCCGGAUUGGCAAACGGGGGAGUAACACGUGAUUAACCUGCCCUUGACUUUGGGAUACCUUAAGGAAACUGGGGCUAAUACCGGAUAGGAGCUCCUGCUGCAUGGGGGGGGUGGGAAAGUUUCGGCGGUUGGGGAUGGACUCGCGGCUUAUCAGCUUGUUGGUGGGGUAGUGGCUUACCAAGGCUUUGACGGGUAGCCGGCCUGAGAGGGUGACCGGCCACAUUGGGACUGAGAUACGGCCCAGACUCCUACGGGAGGCAGCAGUGGGGAAUAUUGCACAAUGGGCGGAAGCCUGAUGCAGCAACGCCGCGUGCGGGAUGACGGCCUUCGGGUUGUAAACCGCUUUCGCCUGUGACGAAGCGUGAGUGACGGUAAUGGGUAAAGAAGCACCGGCUAACUACGUG
rnacentral:rRNA from 1 species